rnacentral:rRNA from 1 species
UAGGGAAUCUUCCACAAUGGGCGAAAGCCUGAUGGAGCAACGCCGCGUGUGUGAUGAAGGCUUUCGGGUCGUAAAGCACUGUUGUAUGGGAAGAACAGCUAGAAUAGGAAAUGAUUUUAGUUUGACGGUACCAUACCAGAAGGGGACGGCUAAAUACGUGUCAG